UGUAUUACUAAUUAGGAUCUUUUCAUUUCAGGUUGAAGAACUCCUUUCAGCAUUUCUUGUAAGGCAUGUCUAGUGGUGAUCAACUCCCUGGUUUUUUGGGAAAGUGUUUAUCUCACCUUUAUUAUGUUGCCUUCAUUUCUCCAUUUCUGGACAGUUUUGCCAGAAUUCCUCAACAAGGGAAGAGUGAAUGGAGAGUUCAUAACUUCUUCAAAUGCCAUUGACAAGAGGUGGUUUGUAUAUGUGCUAAGUCACUUCAGUCAUGUCUGAC